UUGAAACAACAGAAAUUUAUUCUCUCACAGUCUAGAGACCAGACGUGCACGAUCAGUUUCAGGGGUCCCAAAUCGAAGUGCUGGCGGGGCUACCCUCCCUCUGGAGGCUCUGCGGGAGAGUCCAGUCCUCGCCUCCUCCACUUGGGUGGCUGCUGGCACUCCUUGGCUGUGGUCACAUCACUCGAGCCUUUUGGCCACCAUCUCUAAAUCUCUAUCUGCCCCGUCUUCACAUGGCCUUCUCUUCUGUACCUGUGUCAAAUCCAUCUCUGCCUUCCUCUUGUAAGGACAUCUGUGAUUACAUUUAGGGCCCGCCUGGAUGAUCCAGGACCGUCUCUCCAUCUCAAGAUCUUUAACUUCGUCGCAUCUGCAAAGACCCUUUUUCCUAGUAAGGUAAUAUUCAUGGGUUCCAGGAAUUAGGAGCUGAUAUCUUUCGGGCCAUUAUUCAACCUAGCACACCCUCUGUUUUCAGUCCCGUGUCCUGACCGUCUGCUUCUGUCCCUAGUGCCUUUAACGCCUUCUAGAAGUUCCAUGAGGGAAGAUUUGCUUCCAAUCCGUAGCCCCCUCUCUCUGGGGACUUGUGUAGCUUUCUCUUCUCUCCUAGGUCAGCACCAUUCCUUCAAUACUCGUCCACAUUCUAAAAAUGUGCUGACAUUUUGCUAUGGUCUGAAUGUUUGUGUCCCCCCAAAAUUCAUAUGUUCAAAUGCUAACCCCUAAAGGUGCCGGUAUUAUGACGUGGUGCCUUUGGGGGGUGAUUGGGUCACAAGGGUGCAGCCCUCACAGAUGAUGGAUGAGUGCCCUGAUAAAAGAGACCCCAGAGAGCUCCCUAACUCCUUCCACCAUGUGAGGACACAACGAGAAGUCUGUGACCGGAAGAGAGCCCCCACCCGACCACGCUGGCACCCUGACCUUGGAUUUCCAGCCUCCAGAGGAGGAGAAAGGAAUUUCUGCUGUUUAUAAACCACCCAGUCUGUGGUAUUUUGCUAUGCUGCCCGAACGGACUAAGACACAUCUCUCCUUGGCAGUCACCGCAUCCCCCUUCUCCUCGUUCUGGGUGUGCUGGCAGGAGGUGGAGCAGCCAUAUUGACCCAUGAGGUAGAAGAUGAGUGUUGAGGAUACAGAGAAACAAGAUAGCAGGAGCCUGGAUCCCUAAUGACUUCGCCGAGAAGAGGCACCAUGCCAGCUCAGACUUGGACAGAGCGAACCGUCCUCCUGGAGAAAACAUCGCCACCUCACCCCUGGGCCCUGGGGAAGCUGGGAGUGGCUUUGCCUCUGUUUGAAGAAGGAAGGUGCUACCCGAAGGGGCUGGCCUGCAGGACACCCUCAAAGGAGGACCCUGGAGGCACAAAACCUGGAUGCUUCUCCAGCGCUAGGCAGGGAGCCUGACGCUCAGGCAGCUGCUCUUCAAGGGCAUCCAGCGAAGCCCCUUCUUGUCCUCUGAUCCCACCCUCGGGGACAACUGUGCCUGUGCCCGGCACUGUGCCAGAGGCUUUGCACACAUUGUCUCUUUUCAAUCCUCACAGCAAUAAUGGGGGAGGCACUAUUCUGGCCCCCAUUUUACAGAUGAGAAUACUGAGUCUCGGAGAGAUGCGCGAACCUUCUUCUCAAGGGCAUUUGGCAAGCAUCAAGGCCAGAACUUGAACCCUCUCAGCCCAGCGCCACUGUCCUGCUGGGAGCCCCAAGCCCUUACUUCACUCGCCCUGUUCCUUCUGAGACUGCCCACGCUCUGGCUAGUGCUGCC
ensembl:lncRNA